rnacentral:rRNA from 1 species
UCGAGAAUUUUUCUCAAUGGGGGAAACCCUGAAGGAGCGACGCCGCGUGGAGGAUGAAGGUCUUCGGAUUGUAAACUCCUGUCAUUAGGGAACAAUUGCCGACAAUUAACUACUGUCGGCUUGAUAGUACCUGAAGAGGAAGAGACGGCUAACUCUGUGCCAGCAGCCGCGGUAAUACAGAGGUCUCAAGCGUUGUUCGGAUUCAUUGGGCGUAAAGGGUGCGUAGGUGGCGCCAUAAGUCAGGUGUGAAAUCUCGGGGCUCAACCCCGAAACUGCACUUGAUACUGUGGUGCUCGAGUACUGGAGAGGAGAUUGGAAUUUACGGUGUAGCAGUGAAAUGCGUAGAUAUCGUAAGGAAGACCAGUGGCGAAGGCGAAUCUCUGGACAGUUACUGACACUGAGGCACGAAGGCCAGGGGAGCAAACG